rnacentral:rRNA from 1 species
GGCUCAGGAUGAAUGCUGGCGGCGUGUCUAAGGCAUGCAAGUCGAACGAAUGAUUCGUUGUAGCAAUACGAUGGAUCGUGAGUGGCAAACGGGUGCGUAACACAUUGGUAACCUGCCUCGAAGUCGGGCACAACCAGCCGAAAGGUUGGCUAAUUCCACGAUGGUCAUGAGGGGACGCAAGUCAUUCUCAUGUAAAGUCGUAAGACGCUUCGAGAGGGGCCUAUGGCCUAUCAGCUUGUUGGUGAGGUAAUGGCUCACCAAGGCUAUGACGGGUAGGGGAUGUGAGAGCAUGAUCCCCCUCACUGGGACUGAGACACUGCCCAGACACCUACGGGUGGCUGCAGUCGAGAAUAUUCCCCAAUGGGCGAAAGCCUGAGGGAGCGACGCCGCGUGUGGGACGAAGGCCUUCGGGUCGUAAACCACUUUUGCCGAGGAAGAAUCAUGACGGUACUCGGAGAAUAAGAGGUUGCUAACUCUGUGCCAGCAGCAGCGGUAAUACAGAGACCUCAAGCAUUAUCCGGAUUUAUUGGGCGUAAAGGGUCCGUAGGCGGCUAAGCGCGUCUUGUGUGAAAGCCAAAGGCUCAACCUUUGUCCUGCACGAGAUACGGCUUGGCUCGAGGGUGGGAGAGGUAAGCGGAAUUACCGGUGUAGUAGUAAAAUGCGUUUAUAUCGGUAAGAACACCAAAUGCGAAGGCAGCUUACUAGAACACUUCUGACGCUCAGGGACGAAAGCGUGGGUAGCGAAUGGGAUUAGAUACCCCAGUAGUCCACGCCCUAAACAAUGGAUGCUAGAUAUCGGGAGUAUCGACCCUCCCGGUGUCGGUUAAAAAAGUUAACACAUUAAGCAUCCCGCCUGGGAAGUACGGUCG